rnacentral:rRNA from 1 species
UACGUAGGCAGCAAGCGUUGUUCGGAAUUACUGGGCGUAAAGAGUGUGUAGGCGGUGCUCCAAGUCUGGUGUGAAAUCUCCCGGCUUAACUGGGAGGGUGCAUUAGAAACUGGAAUGCUAGAGGAUGGGAGAGGUAAGCGGAAUUCCUGGUGCAGCGGUGAAAUGCGUAGAUAUCAGGAGGAACACCGGUGGUGUAGACGGCUUACUGGACCAUAACUGACGCUGAGACACGAAAGCGUGGGUAGCAAACAGG